rnacentral:rRNA from 1 species
UGAGUAACACGUGGGCAAUCUGCCCUGCACUUCGGGAUAAGCCUGGGAAACUGGGUCUAAUACCGGAUAGGACCUUUAGACGCAUGUCUUUUGGUGGAAAGCUUUUGCGGUGUGGGAUGGGCCCGCGGCCUAUCAGCUUGUUGGUGGGGUGAUGGCCUACCAAGGCGACGACGGGUAGCCGGCCUGAGAGGGUGUCCGGCCACACUGGGACUGAGAUACGGCCCAGACUCCUACGGGAGGCAGCAGUGGGGAAUAUUGCACAAUGGGCGCAAGCCUGAUGCAGCGACGCCGCGUGGGGGAUGACGGCCUUCGGGUUGUAAACCUCUUUCACCAUCGACGAAGGUUCGGGUUUUCUCGGAUUGACGGUAGGUGGAGAAGAAGCACCGGCCAACUACGUGCCAGCAGCCGCGGUAAUACGUAGGGUGCGAGCGUUGUCCGGAAUUACUGGGCGUAAAGAGCUCGUAGGUGGUUUGUCGCGUUGUUCGUGAAAUCUCACGGCUUAACUGUGAGCGUGCGGGCGAUACGGGCAGACUAGAGUACUGCAGGGGAGACUGGAAUUCCUGGUGUAGCGGUGGAAUGCGCAGAUAUCAGGAGGAACACCGGUGGCGAAGGCGGGUCUCUGGGCAGUAACUGACGCUGAGGAGCGAAAGCGUGGGGAGCGAACAGGAUUAGAUACCCUGGUAGUCCACGCCGUAAACGGUGGGUACUAGGUGUGGGUUUCCUUCCUUGGGAUCCGUGCCGUAGCUAACGCAUUAAGUACCCCCGCCUGGGGAGUACGGCCGCAAGGCUAAAACUCAAAGGAAUUGACGGGGGGCCCGCACAA